rnacentral:lncRNA from 1 species
AGACACCGCCUCCACCACAGUUCUGACAACUUGUUCCUAAGUGUUUGUCAGUCUUGUUUGUAUUAUUGCCAGUGUUAUACAUGGCCGGACACUGCGCCACGCGACUGCAUUGCCAGCCACGAGGAAGUCUGACAAGUAUCACAAGCUCGAGGACUGACUGGACUAUAAAGUGGGACUUGUCUUAAAAGACCAGGAGCAACAUUGGAGAUGAUGCAGAAAGUGGCAUCUGUCUUUGCUACUCACAUCCAUACAGCAAUGAACAAAGGAGAACAGUUUUCAUAGCCCAUGCCAAGAUUGUCAGACAAGAAAAACAAAUCUAUCUGAAAACCAAGUGAAGGAAAUGAUGCUGCUCCAGUGGUAUCUAUAAUGUCUUUAUUUGUCUUGACCAACUCUGAGAAGCAAGUUCGAGCUCAACCAUGCUGUGUGUCUGACUUCUGCUAAGUGUGGAGCAUCAUGCCAUCCCAAGUGCCUGUUAGAACUGAGUGGUGACACCAAUACAGACAGAAAUGGUUCGCGGGCUCCUUACCUGGCAACUCAGAAGCAGGAAUGUUCUGACGAUACUGGUAGGUCAGCUCUCGGAAGCUACGCAGACCACAGCAGUAACACAGCACAGUAUUUCCAGUGAUUCUGUAAUCUGGGGGAACACAGCCAUAUCUGGACACAGCCAUUUAUCAAGCAAUGUCAUUUUCUAACACCAAAAUAGACACACUUCAAACUAGUAGGAAACUAACACAUCAACUCAAUAGGUUAGACAUUUGGAAAAUAAUCCCAAAACCAAUCUAAAUACCAAUUUAGCUGGAUUUUUAUUUAUUUUUAUUUUAUCAGUGUUUAUGUGCAUUAAUGUCUGGGCAUCAUAUGUGUGCAGUAGGUGCAAAGAUGGAUCCUCUGGCACCAGAGUUACAGAUAGUCAUGAGCCACCAUGUAGGCGCUGGGAACCCUGGUCCUCUCCAAGAGCAACGCAUGCUCACAGCUACUAAAAUAAUCACCCGUGGAUUAAAAUUUUAAAUAUUUAAAAAUCCCCCCAAAAGUUUUAAGAUUGGAGAGAGUAUUCUCUUGUGCUAAAGUAAAUUAAAUUAGUAAUUCCUUAUCUGAAAUACAUGGGUCAGAGGUAUUUAAUAUGGUUAAUUAUUCCUUAUCUAGAACAUGUAGGUCACUGGUAUUCUGGCUUAGAUUGAUUUUUCAGAUUUGAACAUAUUUGCGUUUAUGUUCCCAAGGAUUAAAAUAAAUUGUGUGUAUAAGUGUUUUGCCUGUA